UUUUUUUUUUUUUUUUUUUAAUACAGUGGAAUGAAAGUCUGCUAGAUCAGACAGCAGGAAAGCCAGAAACAAUGAAACACAUAGAUAUUUUAAGCCUAGAGAAAGACACGAUCCUUGAUCUUGGGAACAUUAUGUGAAAAUGGAUAUAAAACACCUGCGUUUAGAGUACAGAACAUGGUUCUGUUUUGAGGUGGACCUUGACGGGGAAACAAGUUCUCCGUUAUUAUGUUAAACUGAAAAAGAAUCACAAGAGUUGUAGCUUCUCAGGCUGAAAGGCAUUACGGGGGUCAAAGUCCAAGGUCCUUACCAACUCAGGAACCUUCUCUGGUGUAGCCUUGACAGGUGGGUAAUGGGGCUCUGAUCACCACUGGUAAUGUGGAGUUUACCGAUUCAGGAGGCAGCAUAUUCUGUGCAGAGUGGCUCAUAUUGAUAGAAAAUGCCUUUGUAUCCUGAACUGAAGCUUGCAUUUCUCUAAUUGCCACUCCUCUCUCCUGGUUCCUCCUCUGCAGCUACCUAGGAAAAAAUAGAAAUUAAUUUUCCUCUGUGACACACUUCAUUCAAUUGCUCACAACAAACCAAACCAAGCAUCUCCAUUCUUCACAGAUAAGGCAUUGUGUGCCCUGCUUAGUACCUGACCCAGCACCCAAGGUACCUAGAAGACAGGAUAUGGAUUAGUGUGGAGGACCCAGAGCCUGGCCUUUUGGCAAGUUCAAGGGCCAGAUGGGGAUGGUAUAGUGUCAAGGGUUUGGUAAGAGAGGACUCACAGUUUCCCUAGAACAGAUGAUGGGGUUAAGGCAUUUGUGAGAAAAAAUAAAAUUAAAAAAAGAGGAUUUCUAGGGCAAUUAACUCAUUUGCUUUUUCUUUCCUAAUGAGUAGAGAUCAAGGAGACUGAGUUUCCUCAAAAAAAGGAUGUAUCGAAUAUUUAGAUUUUAAGUGUUUAAUUUUCUGUAAGGUAUUUUGUCAUAAAGGUUAUUCAACAAAGGGCUUGCAUUCAGAUUCCAACAUAGAGAGAUGAGAAAUAAAAGGUUUUGUCUGCCAGGAUGGAACUUGACUUGAGCUUGGGGAACAGAUCAGAUAUGUGAAAUGCUAGGUAAAAUGUAAAGCUCUCAGAGAUUGUUGUUGCGUUUUUCUGAAUGUGCAGUGGUUGCUAACAACAGAGUCUGGGAGGUUUGAUGGAAAGACCCUGGGUCAUAAAUCAAAGACAUGAGGAGUUCCCGUUGUGGCUCAGUGGUUAACGAAUCCGACUAGGAACCAUAAGGUUGCGGGUUCGAUCCCUGGCCUUGCUCAGUGGGUUAAGGAUCCGGCAUUGUCAUGAGCUGUGGUGUAUGUAGGUCGCAGACAUGGCUUGGAACCCGCGUUGCUGUGGCUCUGGCCUAGGCUGGCAGCUACAGCUCUGAUUAGACCCCUAGCCUGGGAACCUCCAUAUGCUGCGGGAAUGGCCCAAGAAAUGGCAAUAAAUAAAUAAAUAAAUAAAUAAAUAAAUAAAUAAAUAAAUAAAUAAAAAUAAAUCAAAGACUUGUGUUUGGGCCCUGAGCCAGCCACCUGGUUCAUUCAUUCACUCUUUUAUUUGUCAGACUUUUACUGAGCAGUUACUAUGUGCCAGACACAUCAGUGAUCAAGAGAGACACAGCCCCUGCCCACCUGGACCAUACAUUUUUGUGAGGAAGACAGACAUGUUAUGAGGCACUUCCUUCUUUCUCACAAGGAAGUGCCAGAAAGAGCAGUGGUAGCGUUCGAGGGCAACGAGAUUAUAAGGAGCCUCCAGGACCUCCUACAUGGGUUUGGGGGGGCGGUGGGCAGCAGAAGUUCAGGCAAGCCCUUUGGAGGUGACAUCUAAAGAGAGAGCUGAUGGAUGACAGUUAGUCAGCUGACCUCACAAACUCACCAUCUCUCUGAGCCUCACUUUCUCAUCUCUAAAAUUCAAAUAACAAUUCCAACCAACCUGGUUGAUUUGUAGGAGGUUGUGAGGACCUGAUAAACCCGCUAAGUGCUUGGUUGACUGGAAAGCUCUCCACCAUUGUAAGGAAAACGGUGGUUAAUAAUUGCUAUGAGAUACUGUUAUCUCCCAUCCUAGAGUCCAUUUUCUUCUUUCCACGGGUGCAGAUUUGGCUUCCCAAGGCACAGGAGGAGCAUAGAAUAAAUGGACAUAUCUGGGUGGAGAGAUUUAUAUUGCCUGCAGUUUCUUUGCAGGUAGACCACCCAGGCCCCCAGGGCUAUUAGGGCACAGGGAUGAAGGAGAGGGCUUCUCAAACCACCUGAGUGUCAGAGCAGGGUGGGCUUCUCUCUGGAGCCGCCUCGUUAGAACCGAAUAGACUGAGUCACAACACCUCCCCUGGCUCUGGGUCCCCACUAGCAACUCACUGACCUAAUCUCACCAGAGGUAUAAUUGCAGACUUGCCCCAAACAGGGUCAAGGACACCUGAAGGGACUUCAUGAGCAGGAAAUUCAGCUCUGGUUCUGAUUAUCUACCUACUGACGGGAAAAAGCUGUAGCCAAGUAAUUCUCAAAGGUCAGCAAUUCCUGAUUUCAUCAAGAUGUAAGCUUUCCUUUGCCAAAAGAUGCACACGCAUAUUGGGGAGGGUCCUAUGUCCAGUCAGGUAUGAGAAUUAAAACAAGAUAAUUAGCUAAAGGUAAACAAAGCCCUGGAAGAACUGUUCUAUGUUAAGUGAUUUAAAUCACCUCUUGGGGGUGCCCACACCCGCACCUGCACUCCUCUUUAAGGUGUGUAUUACUGCUUUGCCUCUGACGUAAAUAAACUACUUCCCUGUGUGCUCUCUCAUAUGUUGUACUGUGACUCUAACAAUAAACUUUAUACCUAUUUUCACAGAAAGAAAAAAGAUGUAAAUUACCCCCCCCCAGCCAAAAAAACAGAAGAAGAAGAAAUAAAUUUUCUAGAUCAAUGAGUCUGUUUUGCCCAAGGGCUACUCUCCCCUUUUGGUUUUAUUAUGAUUCUGCUCUGACUUCCUUGCAUUUUCUUUCUUUCUUUCUCUCUUUCUUUUUUUUAGGGCCACACCCAAAGGUUCCCAGGCUAGGGGUUGAAUCAGAGCUACAGCUGCCGGCCUACGCCAGAGCCUCAGCAAUUCAGGAUCC
rnacentral:lncRNA from 1 species